AGCGAACGCUGGCGGCAGGCCUAACACAUGCAAGUCGAACGAAGUCUUCGGACUUAGUGGCGGACGGGUGAGUAACACGUGGGAACGUGCCUUUAGGUUCGGAAUAACUCAGGGAAACUUGUGCUAAUACCGAAUGUGCCCUUCGGGGGAAAGAUUUAUCGCCUUUAGAGCGGCCCGCGUCUGAUUAGCUAGUUGGUGAGGUAAUGGCUCACCAAGGAUACGAUCAGUAGCUGGUCUGAGAGGAUGACCAGCCACAUUAGGACUGAGACACGGCCCAAACUCCUACGGGAGGCAGCAGUGGGGAAUCUUGCGCAAUGGGCGAAAGCCUGACGCAGCCAUGCCGCGUGGAUGAUGAAGGUCUUAGGAUUGUAAAAUCCUUUCACCGGUGAAGAUAAUGACUGUAGCCGGAGAAGAAGCCCCGGCUAACUUCGUGCCAGCAGCCGCCGUAACAC
rnacentral:rRNA from 1 species